CGGACGGGUGAGUAAUACAUGAGGAACCUGCCCUCUACAAGGGGAUAGCCGGGGGAAACCGCGAUUAAUACCCUAUGAGACCACGAAAGCGCAUGCUUUUGAGGUUAAAGAUUGAUCGGUAGAAGAUGGCCUCAUGACCCAUUAGCUAGUUGGUGAUUUAACAGACCACCAAGGCGACGAUGGGUAGCCGGCUUGAGAGAGUGAACGGCCACAUUGGAACUGAGACACGGUCCAG
rnacentral:rRNA from 1 species